rnacentral:rRNA from 1 species
UACGAAGGGGGCGAGCGUUGUUCGGAUUUACUGGGCGUACAGGGAGCGUAGGCGGUUGGGUAAGCCCUCCGUGAAAUCUCCGGGCCUAACCCGGAAAGUGCGGAGGGGACUGCUCGGCUAGAGGAUGGGAGAGGAGCGCGGAAUUCCCGGUGUAGCGGUGAAAUGCGUAGAGAUCGGGAGGAAGGCCGGUGGCGAAGGCGGCGCUCUGGAACAUUUCUGACGCUGAGGCUCGAAAGCGUGGGGAGCAAACAGG